rnacentral:piRNA from 1 species
UGGGUUUGAGUCUUUCUCAGGUCCAGGAAG